rnacentral:rRNA from 1 species
AUUGAACGCUGGCGGCAGGCCUAACACAUGCCAGUCGAGCGGAUGAAGGGAGCUUGCUCCUGGAUUCAGCGGCGGACGGGUGAGUAAUGCCUAGGAAUCUGCCUGGUAGUGGGGGAUAACGUCCGGAAACGGGCGCUAAUACCGCAUACGUCCCGAGGGAGAAAGUGGGGGAUCUUCGGACCUCACGCUAUCAGAUGAGCCUAGGUCGGAUUAGCUAGUUGGUGGGGUAAAGGCCUACCAAGGCGACGAUCCGUAACUGGUCUGAGAGGAUGAUCAGUCACACUGGAACUGAGACACGGUCCAGACUCCUACGGGAGGCAGCAGUGGGGAAUAUUGGACAAUGGGCGAAAGCCUGAUCCAGCCAUGCCGCGUGUGUGAAGAAGGUCUUCGGAUUGUAAAGCACUUUAAGUUGGGAGGAAGGGCAGUAAGUUAAUACCUUGCUGUUUUGACGUUACCAACAGAAUAAGCACCGGCUAACUUCGUG